rnacentral:sRNA from 14 species
UGCACCUGCAACUGCUGCACCUGCAACUGUAGCACCUGCAACCGCUGCACCUGCA